rnacentral:rRNA from 1 species
GACAGAGGGGGCAAGCGUUGUCCGGAUUGACUGGGCGUACAGCGCGCGCAGGCGGCGUGGGGACGUGCCCUGUGACAGGCGGAGGCUCAACCUCCGACGGCCAGGGUAGACGCUCCGGCUAGAGGCAGGGAGAGGGCAGCUGGAAUACCCGGUGGAGCGGUGAAAUGCGUAGAGAUCGGUGGAACACCAGGGGCGAAGGCGGCGUGCCUGGCCCUGACCUGACGCUGAGGCGCGAGAGCGUGGGAGCAAACCACGG